GAGAGUCCUUUUACCUCUUUAAAAAGUGUGAAAAGAACAUAUCUGAAAAAUAGCAGGUUUGAAAGGCGCAAAUGUGUGCCAACCAGGACAUUUUGGCAUUGUUACCACUAUACUCAUACCUUCUUUGUUUUUAUGGUGAACUAACACUUCCAUUAAAAUAAAGUCUAAAAUACAAAAGAUGGGGGAUACUGUUUUCUGGUUGGAUUGAUGAUCGGUUGAUUGAAAUGCU
rnacentral:misc_RNA from 1 species